rnacentral:lncRNA from 1 species
CUUGACUGGUAUUUAUAUGUUGCUUUUUUUAUCAAAUCUCUCAGUUUUGAGUCCCAGAACCUUGUAUUGAAAUUGCUCGCUACAUGGCAUAGGCAAUAUACAUGAUAUGCAUUGUGUGAUUGCCAACUAAGAUAUUCAUUUUCCAUAGUGGAUAAUAAACUUGCAUGUUGACUCAAAAUUAGACAGACAUUCUAAUGUGAUGUAACAAAACAUCUUAGAUAAAUUAAGAAACAGC